CUCACAGACAGUGGAGAAUACAUCUGUACAGCCUAUAAUAGAGUCACAAACAGAAGUGAAUCAAUAAGACAUGUUUUACGCAUUCAAGUUGGAGGUGGAGGGCUGUCAACCGGAGCGGUAGUUGGGAUUGCCAUUGGUGUUUCAGUGGCAGUUUCAGGAAUUUGUGGUCUGAUUGUCUAUUUUACAAAAAACAACAUAAUUCCAAAACCAAACUUUCAGAAAAAGGAUA